AUUGAACGCUGGCGGCAGGCCUAACACAUGCAAGUCGAGCGGGGUUUUCGGGCCUAGCGGCGGACGGGUGAGUAAUGCGUAGGAAGCUACCCGAUAGAGGGGGAUACCAGUUGGAAACGACUGUUAAUACCGCAUAAUGUCUACGGACCAAAGUGUGGGACCUUCGGGCCACAUGCUAUCGGAUGCGCCUACGUGGGAUUAGCUAGUUGGUGAGGUAAUGGCUCACCAAGGCGACGAUCCCUAGCUGGUUUGAGAGGAUGAUCAGCCACACUGGAACUGAGACACGGUCCAGCUGCCUACGGGAGGCAGCAGUGGGGAAUAUGUGACAAUGGGAGCAAGCCUGAUCCGCCCAUGCCGUGUGUGUGAAGAAGGCCUUCGGGUUGUAAAGCACUUUCAGUAGUGAGGAAGCGUUGUGUGUUGAUAGUACACAGCGUUGACGUUACCUACAGAAGAAGCACCGGCUAACUCUGUGCCAGCAGCCGCCGUAAGAC
rnacentral:rRNA from 1 species